UACGUAGGGACCAAGCGUUGUUCGGAUUUACUGGGCGUAAAGGGCGCGUAGGCGGCAAUUCAAGUCAGUUGUGAAAUCUCCGAGCUUAACUUGGAACGGUCAACUGAUACUGUUUUGCUAGAGUACAGAAGGGGCAAUCGGAAUUCUUGGUGUAGCGGUGAAAUGCGUAGAUAUCAAGAGGAACACCUGAGGUGAAGACGGGUUGCUGGGCUGAUACUGACGCUGAGGCGCGAAAGCUAGGGUAGCAAACGGG
rnacentral:rRNA from 1 species